rnacentral:rRNA from 1 species
UACGGAGGGGGCAAGCGUUGUUCGGAAUUACUGGGCGUAAAGGGCGCGCAGGCGGCUGCUCAAGUCAGGCGUGAAAGGCCUGGGCUCAACCCGGGAAUUGCGCUUGAGACUGGGCUGGCUUGAGUGCGGGAGAGGAUGGUGGAAUUCCGAGUGUAGAGGUGAAAUUCGUAGAUAUUCGGAAGAACACCAGUGGCGAAGGCGACUCGCUGGACAAGUAUUGACGCUGAGGUGCGAAAGCGUGGGGAGCAAACAGG